CUGGGCGUAAAGGGCGAGAAGGCGGUGAGACAAGUUCUUCCUAAAAGCCUCUGGCCUAACCAAGAGGAAGGGAAGAAUACUGUUUCACUAGAACUCUCAGGGGCUAGCGGAACGGUCGGUGUAGGGGUGAAAUCCGACGAUAUCGACCGGAACGCCGAAGGCGAAGGCAGCUGGCUAGGAGAGUUCUGACGCUGAUCCGCGAAAGCUAGGGGCGCGAACCGGAUUAGAUACCCGGGUAGUCCUAGCUGUAAACGAUGGAUGCUAACUUUGGGGAGUUUCGACCCUCUCCGAGGUAAAGCUAACGCGUCAAGCAUCCCGCCUGGGGAGUACGACGCAAGGUCGAAACUCAAAGGAAUAGGCGGAAGCCCGAACAAGCAGUGGUCCAUGUUGCUUAAUUCGAGAUGAACGAAAAAUCUUACCCAGGCUUGCAUCCAACCUAACUCGUCUGAAAAGACGGGUGAGCCUACUUUGAGGUUGGACAGGUGCUGCAUGGCCGUCGUCAGCUCGUGGUGUGAGUUGUAACCUUAAGUGGCACAACGAGCGCAACCCCUAUCCCGUGUUACAGGUGUCACGGGAAACUGCCGAGUAUAACUCGGAGGAAGGUGGGGAUGACGUCAGGUCUGCAUGGCCCUUAUGCCUGGGGCGGCAAACAUGGAACAAUGGUAGGGACAAAGGGAAGCAACGGCGUGAGCCGGAGCAAAUCCCCAAAACCUACCUCAGUUCGGAUUGAAGGCUGAAACUCGCCUUCAUGAAGGUGGAAUUGCUAGUAAUCGCGGGUCACCAUUACCGC
rnacentral:rRNA from 1 species